GGGCNGGCACUGGACGCUCAUGCACGAAAGCGUGGGGAGCAAACAGGAUUAGAUACCCUGGUAGUCCACGCCCUAAACGAUGGCAACUAGUUGUUGGGGGCUAACUCCCUCAGUAACGCAGCUAACGCGUGAAGUCGACCGCCUGGGGAGUACGGUCGCAAGAUUAAAACUCAAAGGAAUUGACGGGGACCCGCACAAGCGGUGGAUGAUGUGGAUUAAUUCGAUGCAACGCGAAAAACCUUACCUACUCUUGACAUGUCCGGAACCUCCCAGAGAUGGUUUGGUGCUCGAAAGAGAACCUGAACACAGGUGCUGCAUGGCUGUCGUCAGCUA
rnacentral:rRNA from 1 species